UACUGGAAACGGUGGCUAAUACCGCAUAACGUCGCAAGACCAAAGAGGGGGACCUUCGGGCCUCUUGCCAUCAGAUGUGCCCAGAUGGGAUUAGCUUGUUGGUGAGGUAACGGCUCACCAAGGCGACGAUCCCUAGCUGGUCUGAGAGGAUGACCAGCCACACUGGAACUGAGACACGGUCCAGACUCCUACGGGAGGCAGCAGUGGGGAAUAUUGCACAAUGGGCGCAAGCCUGAUGCAGCCAUGCCGCGUGUAUGAAGAAGGCCUUCGGGUUGUAAAGUACUUUCAGCGGGGAGGAAGGUGUUGUGGUUAAUAACCACAGCAAUUGACGUUACCCGCAGAAGAAGCACCGGCUAACUCCGUGCCAGCAGCCGCGGUAAUACGGAGGGUGCAAGCGUUAAUCGGAAUUACUGGGCGUAAAGCGCACGCAGGCGGUCUGUCAAGUCGGAUGUGAAAUCCCCGGGCUCAACCUGGGAACUGCAUUCGAAACUGGCAGGCUUGAGUCUUGUAGAGGGGGGUAGAAUUCCAGGUGUAGCGGUGAAAUGCGUAGAGAUCUGGAGGAAUACCGGUGGCGAAGGCGGCCCCCUGGACAAAGACUGACGCUCAGGUGCGAAAGCGUGGGGAGCAAACAGGAUUAGAUACCCUGGUAGUCCACGCCGUAAACGAUGUCUACUUGGAGGUUGUGCCCUUGAGGCGUGGCUUCCGGAGCUAACGCGUUAAGUAGACCGCCUGGGGAGUACGGCCGCAAGGUUAAAACUCAAAUGAAUUGACGGGGGCCCGCACAAGCGGUGGAGCAUGUGGUUUAAUUCGAUGCAACGCGAAGAACCUUACCUGGUCUUGACAUCCACAGAACUUUCCAGAGAUGGAUUGGUGCCUUCGGGAACUGUGAGACAGGUGCUGCAUGGCUGUCGUCAGCUCGUGUUGUGAAAUGUUGGGUUAAGUCCCGCAACGAGCGCAAC
rnacentral:rRNA from 1 species